GAACGGGUGAGUAAUACAUAAAUAAUCUACCAUAAUGACUGGGAUAACCAAUGGAAACGCUGGCUAAUACCGGAUAGGUAAAACGAGGGCAUCUUUGUUUUAUUAAAGUAGGGCUACUACACAAUAUGAUGAGUUUAUGGCGCAUUAGCUAGUUGGUGAGGUAACGGCUCACCAAGGCGAUGAUGCGUAGCCGACCUGAGAGGGUGACCGGCCACACUGGGACUGAGACACGGCCCAGACUCCUACGGGAGGCAGCAGUAGGGAAUUUUCGGCAAUGGGCGCAAGCCUGACCGAGCAACGCCGCGUGAGUGAAGAAGGCCUUCGGGUUGUAAAGCUCUGUUGUAAGGGAAGAACACUUUUUAGAGGAAAUGCUAGAGAGCUGACGGUACCUUACCAGAAAGCCACGGCUAACUACGUGCCAGCAGCCGCGGUAAUACGUAGGUGGCGAGCGUUAUCCGGAAUUAUUGGGCGUAAAGGGUGCGUAGGCGGUUUAUUAAGUCUGUGGUGAAAGUGCGGGGCUCAACCCCGUAUGGCCACAGAAACUGAUAGACUAGAGUACAGGAGAGGGCAGUGGAAUUCCAUGUGUAGCGGUAAAAUGCGUAGAUAUAUGGAGGAACACCGGUGGCGAAGGCGGCUGCCUGGCCUGUAACUGACGCUGAGGCACGAAAGCGUGGGGAGCAAAUAGGAUUAGAUACCCUAGUAGUCCACGCUGUAAACGAUGAUUACUAAGUGUUGGAGAAAUUCAGUGCUGCAGUUAACGCAAUAAGUAAUCCGCCUGGGGAGUAUGCACGCAAGUGUGAAACUCAAAGGAAUUGACGGGACCCCGCACAAGCGGUGGAGUAUGUGGUUUAA
rnacentral:rRNA from 1 species